UACGUAGGGGGCAAGCGUUGUCCGGAAUCAUUGGGCGUAAAGAGCGUGUAGGCGGUCCGCUAAGUCCGCUCUGAAAGCCCGGGGCUCAACCCCGGGAGGCGGGCGGAUACUGUCGGGCUAGAGUCCGGAAGAGGCAAGUGGAAUUCCUGGUGUAGCGGUGAAAUGCGCAGAUAUCAGGAGGAACACCGAUGGCGAAGGCAGCUUGCUGGGACGGUACUGACGCUGAGACGCGAAAGCGUGGGGAGCAAACAGG
rnacentral:rRNA from 1 species